GAAACGACUGCUAAGACUGGAUAGGAGACAAGAAGGCAUCUUCUUGUUUUUAAAAGACCUAGCAAUAGGUAUGCUUAGAGAGGGGCUUGCGUCACAUUAGUUAGUUGGUGGGGUAAAGGCCUACCAAGACUAUGAUGUGUAGCCGGGCUGAGAGGUUGAACGGCCACAUUGGGACUGAGACACAGCCCAAACUCCUACGGGAGGCAGCAGUAGGGAAUUUUCGGCAAUGGAGGAAACUCUGACCGAGCAACGCCGCGUGAACGAUGAAGUAUUUCGGUACGUAAAGUUCUUUUAUUAAGGAAGAAUACAUGAUGGAAAAAUCAUUCUGACGGUACCUAAUGAAUAAGCCCCGGCUAACUAUGUGCCAGCAGCCGCGGUAAUACAUAGGGGGCAAGCGUUAUCCGGAAUUAUUGGGCGUAAAGGGUGCGUAGGCGGUUAAAUAAGUUUGUGGUCUAAGUGCAAUGCUCAACAUUGUGAUGCUAUAAAAACUGUUUAGCUAGAGUAAGAUAGAGGCAAGUGGAAUUCCAUGUGUAGUGGUAAAAUGUGUAAAUAUAUGGAGGAACACCAGUAGCGAAGGCGGCUUGCUGGGUCUUUACUGACGCUGAGGCACGAAAGCGUGGGGAGCAAACAGGAUUAGAUACCCUGGUAGUCCACGCCGUAAACGAUGAGUACUAAACGUUGGUUAAAACCAGUGUUGAAGUUAACACAUUAAGUACUCCGCCUGAGUAGUACGUACGCAAGUAUGAAACUUAAAGGAAUUGACGGGACUCCGCACAAGCGGUGGAUCAUGUUGUUUAAUUCGAAGGUACCCGAAAAACCUCACCAGGUCUUGACAUGCUUCUGCAAAGCUGUAGAAACACAGUGGAGGUUAUCAGUUGCACAGGUGGUGCAUGGUUGUCGUCAGCUCGUGUCGUGAGAUGUUGGGUUAAGUCCCGCAACGGGCGCAACCCUUAUUGUUAGUUACCAGCACGUAAUGGUGGGGACUUUAGCAAGACUGCCAGUGAUAAAUUGGAGGAAGGUGGGGACGACGUCAAAUCAUCAUGCCCCUUAUGAUCUGGGCUACAAACGUGAUACAAUGGCUGUUACAAAGGGUAGCUGAAGCGCAAGUUUUUGGCGAAUCUCAAAAAAACAGUCUCAGUUCGGAUUGAAGUCUGCAACUCGACUUCAUGAAGUUGGAAUCGCUAGUAAUCGCGAAUCAGGAUGUCGCGGUGAAUACGUUCGCGGGGUUUGUACACACCGCCCGUCA
rnacentral:rRNA from 2 species